rnacentral:lncRNA from 1 species
UUAAAAGCAGCAGUUUGAAGAGUAUCAUUUUCUACAUGUGUUUCAGAAGAAGAGCUUGUAUUAUCCCCCUUAUGUGAAUCACCAUAAACUAAAGAACUACGGUCUACGGCUGAGAACAGAUAUCAAGUUUUCCAUGAACGUAAAUGGAAGCUCUGUAUGUCCAUACCGACAAUAAAAAGGCAUGUACCACGGCGGCGAUGUCAGUCCCAAAGAGAUGAAUAUGAAGUGAGUCGGUGUUUCCAUUGAACCUCACGCCGCAGGUGAGUAAACCAAACACCACGAAAGCUCUCCCCACAGGUUUACCGGCGCUAAUGGAGUAAUUGUCUUGAACCGUCGAUCAAUCUCUUCAAAGAGAAGUAAGAACUCUCAUCCUCAUCUCCUCACAAAGAGUCUUUCGCCAUAGCCUUUCGACGAAGCCCACUUCACAAUGAACGGCGGCAGCAAAGAUUUUCCACCACCAUGUGGUUUGUGCCAACUGUAGAUAAGACAAAAACGAUCGAAAGCGGUCCGAAUUGUUUAUCAAACGAUCUUGUGGAGAGAAAAGAGAAAAACAGAAAGAGAUAUAAAAUCUACCAUCUGAUAAACACCAAUAAAAAGCUACUAAAAAAAUAAGUUUCAAAGUUUUAAUAGAAAUAAUUUGAAGUCACUGUUAUGAGGAGCAUAAGAACAUGCUUACCUUUGAAUCCAGUAACGGCAUAUCAACUUCCCAUGAGUUCCCACCGCGCCUGACAUUCGUCGCCUCCCAGCAUCAAUCUAACCUCAACAGUUGAAGAACAUAAACUGGACUUCAAAUUAGAGAGGAAAACUUUGGAGUUAGCCAACUUGCUUGAAGAAUAAGCUUACUUUGCUACUUACAAAGACUGAAAAGAUGGUUCUGAGAGGAAAGAAGCUAACCUAUUAAUACUCGCAGAUACACAGCCUCCUACAAAACAAACUCGUAUUGAAGGUUUAGAUCGUGGUUGGUGAAUUUAAUAAGAGGCUAAACGGAAUGAAUCUGUAAUGGGAACGUUUCAAUUGAUGAAUACAAAGAUCAAACGUCAAGACCAAAACCCAAAGAAGAGUAUUCACGCUUUCUCCACCAUCAAAAUCUCUCUAAUGGCAGAGAAGAGGCGGAUGAACCCAAAACGUCGUGAAGCCGAGGAAGACACGAUAGUCGCUUUGGGGCUUGAACUGCUGAGUAAAUAGAAGGCCCAACCAUGAAGCCCACAAAUAUUAAGCACGACUUUAAAUGAAACGAAGCGUAUUGUAAAAAGGGACAUGUGUCACUCUCUCCUCCCUCUAUUUGAUGACAUGGCAAGAGGAGAAGAGAGUGAAUCUCUUCUUUAUAGUAUAAGUAAUAAAAAAAUGAAUAAUUUCUUUUCUAAGAUAUUUUUUUAGGACAAUCAAAAUCACUCAUUGUGAUAAUUUCUGAAAAUAUUUCAGCAAAGAAUUUAAAGAUAUUUAUAUUAUUAUUUGUGAAGUAAUUUUUUCGUUUCCCUGUUAAAAGUUAAAACGUUUAAAGUUGUUAUUAUCUUUAUAAAUAAUUAGAUUAUAUUCCUAAUAUAUAACUACCCAUAAAUUCAAAACAAAUUUCUUUAAUUUGAAAAUCACCAUUAUCUAAAACGAUUUUAUAUCAUGUUAUCCAAAAAUAUUUUUCAUCAUAAUAUUUUUAAAAUAAAUAUAAAUCUAUGUAUAUAUUAAUGUUUUCAAGUUAAUUUAUGUAAUUAAAUAUAUUUUUUUAUCAUGCACAAAAAUUUAAUACUUAAUUAAUUAUCAAAUAUUUCAAAAAACAUGAAAAUAAUUUAUUCUUAUGGUUAAUGAAUUGAUAAUAUAUUUAUUUAAAAUUUUUUGUAAAAUUAUUAAAAUAUGAAAACACCUAAUUGAUCGUAUUUUGACCUGAACAACAAACACUCACGACAAUAGACAUUGUGUUUUGACCUUUAUCCGCUCUCGCGUAAAGAGAGUCGCAAAGAAACCCUUAAUCCAAUCAUUGUUUGGGUCAUCACUCUGGAUCUAACCAACCAUUCUUAGGAGAAGAGAGUGAAUCUCUUCUUUAUAGUAUAAAUUGUAAACUGUAAAUAUAAUAUUGUCAAAUUAUCCUAUAAAAUUAUAGUUAACUUUAUCUUUUAUUUACUUUAUUAAUAUUAAAUAUUAUAUUAAUAAAAAAAUGAAUAAUUUCUUUUCUAAGAUAUUUUUUUAGGACAAUCAAAAUCACUCAUUGUGAUAAUUUCUGAAAAUAUUUCAGCAAAGAAUUUAAAGAUAUUUAUAUUAUUAUUUGUGAAGUAAUUUUUUCGUUUCCCUGUUAAAAGUUAAAACGUUUAAAGUUGUUAUUAUCUUUAUAAAUAAUUAGAUUAUAUUCCUAAUAUAUAACUACCCAUAAAUUCAAAACAAAUUUCUUUAAUUUGAAAAUCACCAUUAUCUAAAACGAUUUUAUAUCAUGUUAUCCAAAAAUAUUUUUCAUCAUAAUAUUUUUAAAAUAAAUAUAAAUCUAUGUAUAUAUUAAUGUUUUCAAGUUAAUUUAUGUAAUUAAAUAUUUUUUUUUAUCAUGCACAAAAAUUUAAUACUUAAUUAAUUAUCAAAUAUUUCAAAAAACAUGAAAAUAAUUUAUUCUUAUGGUUAAUGAAUUGAUAAUAUAUUUAUUUAAAAUUUUUUGUAAAAUUAUUAAAAUAUGAAAACACCUAAUUGAUCGUAUUUUGACGUGAACAACAAACACUCACGACAAUAGACAUUGUGUUUUGACCUUUAUCCGCUCUCGCGUAAAGAGAGUCGCAAAGAAACCCUUAAUCCAAUCAUUGUUUGGGUCAUCACUCUGGAUCUAACCAACCAUUCUUGAAGAAGAUGAUAGCUGUGAUAGGAUUGAUUCUGGAUUUCUCAAAAUGGCUUCCCACUCUCCUGAGGCUAGAGCUAGAGGCAACCACUAUUCAGAUGUUUGUUUUUGAGGAGACAGAGCAUGUCACCUUCUGAAUCUCAAAACAUAGACAGUAUGGAGGAUAUUUUAUGGUUGUCCAUAUCUCUGUUUUGUAGGAUGCUUUUGAAUUGUUGAGCCUUCAGGUGUCUUGAUUGAAUUGCAUACAUCAAUCUCGCCAGUAAGAUCAAUCCACUUUUAUUUUUCUCUUCGCUCCCCAUUGCAAGCCAAAAUCUAAGCAAAGACAUGUAUCAUUUGCAAGUCCAUGAAGUAAGUGCCACAACGACAGAAGAGUAGCUUUUCUCAUCAGCCUUUUUUUGCUAUUUUCCCCGCCAUCUCUGGUUAAUUUAGUAUGUUAGCCACAAAAAUGAAUUAAGUAGACAAAGGUAAAGUGGAUGGUUUAAGAAACGUACAUUAAAAGCAGCAGUUUGAAGAGUAUCAUUUUCUACAUGUGUUUCAGAAGAAGAGCUUGUAUUAUCCCCCUUAUGUGAAUCACCAUAAACUAAAGAACUACGGUCUACGGCUGAGAACAGAUAUCAAGUUUUCCAUGAACGUAAAUGGAAGCUCUGUAUGUCCAUACCGACAAUAAAAAGGCAUGUACCACGGCGGCGAUGUCAGUCCCAAAGAGAUGAAUAUGAAGUGAGUCGGUGUUUCCAUUGAACCUCACGCCGCAGGUGAGUAAACCAAACACCACGAAAGCUCUCCCCACAGGUUUACCGGCGCUAAUGGAGUAAUUGUCUUGAACCGUCGAUCAAUCUCUUCAAAGAGAAGUAAGAACUCUCAUCCUCAUCUCCUCACAAAGAGUCUUUCGCCAUAGCCUUUCGACGAAGCCCACUUCACAAUGAACGGCGGCAGCAAAGAUUUUCCACCACCAUGUGGUUU